AAGACAUAUUUGUUUGUACCAAUCUGAAAUGGAAUCAAGAAAAUAAAACAAUAUAUAAACUCCAGCUUCUUUGCUAGGGAAAUAGAUUGAAAUAUUUGUGGAACAGAAUUCAUUCUAGAUUUUCUCUACUACUAAUUCUAGCAAUCUAAAUGUCAGUUGUUGUCUAUCAAAACAUUUGAUAUGGCAAGGGUGUCAACAAAACAAAAGCAAUAGCUUGUGGUUGAUAGCUGUCCCUCAUAUUAUUAUGGCUUGAGUGAGUCAAUCAGCACUAUGCAUGUUAAUCAUGAAAACAGGGGAGGUAACAAUUUAAAGUUGU